UACGGAGGGAGCUAGCGUUGUUCGGAAUUACUGGGCGUAAAGCGCGCGUAGGCGGCUUUGUAAGUUAGAGGUGAAAGCCCGGGGCUCAACUCCGGAACUGCCUUUAAGACUGCAUCGCUUGAAUCCGGGAGAGGUGAGUGGAAUUCCGAGUGUAGAGGUGAAAUUCGUAGAUAUUCGGAAGAACACCAGUGGCGAAGGCGACUUACUGGACGACCGUUGACGCUGAGGUGCGAAAGCGUGGGGAGCAAACAGG
rnacentral:rRNA from 1 species